rnacentral:rRNA from 1 species
AGUGAACGCUGGCGGUAGGCCUAACACAUGCAAGUCGAACGGCAGCACAGUAAGAGCUUGCUCUUACGGGUGGCGAGUGGCGGACGGGUGAGGAAUACAUCGGAAUCUACUUUUUCGUGGGGGAUAACGUAGGGAAACUUACGCUAAUACCGCAUACGACCUACGGGUGAAAGCAGGGGAUCUUCGGACCUUGCGCGAUUGAAUGAGCCGAUGUCGGAUUAGCUAGUUGGCGGGGUAAAGGCCCACCAAGGCGACGAUCCGUAGCUGGUCUGAGAGGAUGAUCAGCGACACUGGAACUGAGACACGGUCCAGAGUCCUACGAGAGGCAGCAGUGGGGAAUGUUGGACAAUGGGCGCAAGCCUGAUCCAGCCAUACCGCGUGGGUGAAGAAGGCCUUCGGGUUGUAAAGCCCUUUUGUUGGGAAAGAAAAGCAGCAGGUUAAUACCCAGCUGUUCUGACGGUACCCAAAGAAUAAGCACCGGCUAACUUCGUG